GACGAACGCUGGCGGCGUGCCUAAUACAUGCCAGUUGAGCGCUGAAGGUUGGUACUUGUACCAACUGGAUGAGCAGCGAACGGGUGAGUAACGCGUGGGGAAUCUGCCUUUGAGCGGGGGACAACAUUUGGAAACGAAUGCUAAUACCGCAUAAAAACUUUAAACACAAGUUUUAAGUUUGAAGGAUGCAAUUGCAUCACUCAAAGAUGAUCCCGCGUUGUAUUAGCUAGUUGGUGAGGUAAAGGCUCACCAAGGCGAUGAUACAUAGCCGACCUGAGAGGGUGAUCGGCCACAUUGGGACUGAGACACGGCCCAAACUCCUACGGGAGGCAGCAGUAGGGAAUCUUCGGCAAUGGACGAAAGUCUGACCGAGCAACGCCGCGUGAGUGAAGAAGGGUUUCGGAUCGUAAAACUCUGUUGGUAGAGAAGAACGUUGGUGAGAGUGGAAAGCUCAUCAAGUGACGGUAACUACCCAGAAAGGGACGGCUAACUACGUG
rnacentral:rRNA from 1 species